UAAACAACCCUGUUCCAUGAAAUUCGCAGGGUGUAGGGGUGGAAGAAACUGGCGAAGGAUGGAAAGAAGAGGAGGGGUUGAUCAAAAAGAGGAGAGUCGGUGUAAGAGAGACGAGAAGCUCGGCGCACGAAGCUAGCGGCGAACAAUAAGCAAUAAUAGGUAAUGCAAUUCAAACGUUGAGGCUGGCAAUACUCCGAAGCCAACGGGGUGGUUACAAUGCCGGGAAAUGCAAGGCAGGCAUUUCCUGCGAAGCGCCGGCGAGAGGAGAACGGAGACAAUCGUACAAUACAGGACGUUCAGACAUGUCUACGCCGAAGCGGAGAUAAGCAACAAGUGUGCAGUUCACAUCGAGCCGUUUGGGAAAAGGUAUUGUGUACUCGCUGCACGUUAAUUGUCCCCUGCUCGCCACCCCCGCUCCAGCCAGCAUCCCUGUGGACCACCCCCUUUUUUUCGAGCGAACCGAGUUGGAUAACGCCACGGCUGCCGAUAUGAAACGACGUUUUAAUCAUCGAACAAGUACAAAACCAACCUUUGAUUCUCCCCGCCACGCGAAUAUUUGCCCGGUAUUGAAGGGCGAACCGUCGGAAAAAAGUCGCCCGAUUAUUUCAACGAACUCUUUUGUACACGUAGGAGAGAUUUUUC
rnacentral:misc_RNA from 1 species